AUUGAACGCUGGCGGCGUGCCUAACACAUGCAAGUCGAGCGGUAACAGGUGUAGCAAUACAUGCUGACGAGCGGCGGACGGGUGAGUAACGCUUGGGAAUCUGCCUGGUUAGUGGGGGACAACCCGGGGAAACUCGGCUAAUACCGCAUACGCACUACGGUGGAAAGCCGGGGACCGCAAGGCCUGGCGCUAACAGAUGAGCCCAAGCCGGAUUAGCUAGUUGGUAGGGUAACGGCCACCAAGGCGACGAUCCGUAACUGGUCUGAGAGGACGACCAGUCACACCGGAACUGAGACACGGUCCGGACUCCUACGGGAGGCAGCAGUGGGGAAUAUUGGACAAUAGGGCGAAAGACCUGAUCCAGCGACGCCGCGUGGGUGAAGAAGG
rnacentral:rRNA from 1 species